rnacentral:lncRNA from 1 species
AUUACAAUACAUGGAAGAGUAAGUAAGCCAAGUGGCCUGAUACUUAUCAUGAGGUUGGAAGGCUAUCAUUUGCAGUCAUGAAAAUGUGUCUGCAUUACAGCUUAAGGACCAUCCCCUUUCCUUUUUUCAGCUUUUCUAGUAGACUGGUGGACACAGAUGACAAGGAGGCGCGUCUUGUCCUCAUGUGGUCUACAGUCUGGUAGGAAGACAUAACUGACGUCUUAUACAAAAGGUCUGAAAGCAGGAAGAAGUAACCAAAUGCUUUAAUGGAGACAAGGAAGUGAGUCAUUCUCAGCUGAGUGGAACCCU